rnacentral:rRNA from 1 species
GAUGAACGCUGACAGAAUGCUUAACACAUGCAAGUCUUUGGCGAAGCUGUGCUUGCACAGCCUAGCCAAGGCGGACGGGUGAGUAACGCGUAAGGAACUUGCCCUGCAGUCAGGGAUAACAGACGGAAACGACUGAUAAGACCUGGUAAAGUCAGGCGGACUCAUGUCCAGCCUGAUGAAAAGAGAUGCUGCAGGAGAGCCUUGCGUCCUAUUAGCUUGUUGGUGGGGUAACGGCCCACCAAGGCGAUGAUAGGUAGCCGGCCUGAGAGGGUGGACGGCCACAAGGGGACUGAGAUACGGCCCUUACUCCUACGGGAGGCAGCAGUGGGGAAUAUUGGACAAUGGGGGCAACCCUGAUCCAGCAAUUCUGUGUGAACGAUGAAGGUUUUCGGAUUGUAAAGUGCUUUCAGCGGGGAAGAAAAAAAUGACGGUACCUGCAGAAGAAGCGACGGCUAAAUACGUG